AUUGAACGCUGGCGGCAUGCCUUACACAUGCAAGUCGAACGGCAGCACGGGGCAACCCUGGUGGCGAGUGGCGAACGGGUGAGUAACAUAUCGGAACAUACCCUAGAGUGGGGAUAACGUAGCGAAAGUUACGCUAAUACCGCAUACGACCUACGGUGAAAGCGGGGAUCGCAAGACCUCGCGCGAUUAGAUGAGCCGAUGUCCGAUUAGCUAGUUGGCGGGGUAAUGGCCCACCAAGGCGACGAUCGGUAGCUGGUCUGAGAGGAUGAUCAGCCACACCGGAACUGAGACACGGUCCAGACUCCUACGGGAGGCAGCAGUGGGGAAUAUUGGACAAUGGGCGCAAGCCUGAUCCAGCCAUGCCGCGUGGGUGAAGAAGGCCUUCGGUUGGUUAAAGACCCGUUUUUCGUUUCCCGGGU
rnacentral:rRNA from 1 species